GGGGAAUAUUGGACAAUGGGGGCAACCCUGAUCCAGCAAUGCCGCGUGAAUGAUGAAGGCCUUAGGGUUGUAAAGUUCUUUUAUUGAUGACGAUAAUGACGGUAAUCAAUGAAUAAGCACCGGCUAACUUCGUGCCAGCAGCCGCGGUAAUACGAAGGGUGCUAGCGUUGUUCGGAAUGACUGGGCGUAAAGGGUGCGUAGGCGGCCAGAAGCGUCUGAUGUGAAAUCCCUGGGCUUAACCUAGGAACUGCAUUGGAUACGGUCUGGCUAGAGUCCGCGAGAGGAAGAUGGAAUUGUGCGUGUAGAGGUGAAAUUCGUAGAUAUGCACAAGAACACCGGUGGCGAAGGCGAUCUUCUGGAGCGGUACUGACGCUAAGGCACGAAAGUGUGGGGAGCAAAC
rnacentral:rRNA from 1 species